CCUACGGGAGGCAGCAGUGAGGAAUAUUGGUCAAUGGACGAGAGUCUGAACCAGCCAAGUAGCGUGAAGGAUGACUGCCCUAUGGGUUGUAAACUUCUUUUAUAUGGGAAUAAAAUGUUCCACGUGUGGGAUUUUGUAUGUACCAUAUGAAUAAGGAUCGGCUAACUCCGUGCCAGCAGCCGCGGUAAUACGGAGGAUCCGAGCGUUAUCCGGAUUUAUUGGGUUUAAGGGGAGGGUAGGUGGAUUGGUAAGUCAGUUGUGAAAGUUUGCGGCUCAACCGUAAAAUUGCAGAUGAAACUGGCAGUCUUGAGUACAGUAGAGGUGGGCGGAAUUCGUGGUGUAGCGGUGAAAUGCUUAGAUAUCACGAAGAACUCCGAUUGCGAAGGCAGUUCACUGGACUGCAACUGACACUGAGGCUCGAAAGUGUGGGUAUCAAACAGGAUUAGAUACCCUUGUAGUC
rnacentral:rRNA from 1 species